rnacentral:rRNA from 1 species
UACGUAGGUCCCGAGCGUUAUCCGGAAUGAUUGGGCGUAAAGGGUGCGUAGGCGGCCUGCUAAGUCUGGAGUGAAAGGUACCGGCUCAACCGGUACAGGCUCUGGAAACUGGCGGGCUAGAGAGCAGGAGGGGGCGGUGGAACUCCAUGUGUAGCGGUAAAAUGCGUAGAUAUAUGGAAGAACACCAGUGGCGAAGGCGGCCGCCUGGCCUGUUGGUACUGACGCUGAGGCACGAAAGCGUGGGGAGCAAAUAGG